GCACUGCUGAGGAGUCCCAUACUAGGACGAAAUGGUCAUCCAGUGC
rfam:Schistosoma mattheei strain Denwood, Zambia genome assembly, scaffold: SMTD_scaffold0001558